UCAUUGUAAUAAUCAUCCCUUAAAAGCGAAAUUCUAAUCUCAGUAGAAUCUAUUUUUGCUUUAAUCAUCCGCUCUGUACAAGUCCCUCAAAGUUCGAGAUGACAGUGACAGUCACAGUGUCAUUCACUCGAAACCUCAAAAUCCCAGUCGAAACAUUCCCAUAAUCCAUCACAUCAAGACAUGGAAGGACUCUCCAAGACCAUUUCUCAAGUAUUCUUCACUUCUGAUGCGCAGAUGGCGAUCCUGGGAUUCCUGUGCUUCGUGGGAGCCUGGGUGGUGGUAACCAAACUAGUCCAGAUGGUUCACUGAAGAAAUGGCGCAGUACGCUCAGGUAGUUACAGAUUGGUUGAAGAGGACCGGCCAGGAGAUUGACGUUAACAUGAUGAGAACUUAGAACUGAUUUCGUUCAAUGAAAGGUCCUGUGCAGUUUGUUUGGCACAAAAAUAAAUAUGUUGAAGUUCGG